rnacentral:rRNA from 1 species
GAUGAACGCUGGCGGCGUGCCUAAUACAUGCAAGUCGAGCGAACGGACGAGAAGCUUGCUUUUCUGAUGUUAGCGGCGGACGGGUGAGUAACACGUGGAUAACCUACCUAUAAGACUGGGAUAACUUCGGGAAACCGGAGCUAAUACCGGAUAAUAUUUUGAACCGCAUGGUUCAAAAGUGAAAGACGGUCUUGCUGUCACUUAUAGAUGGAUCCGCGCUGCAUUAGCUAGUUGGUAAGGUAACGGCUUACCAAGGCAACGAUGCAUAGCCGACCUGAGAGGGGGAUCGGCCACACUGGAACUGAGACACGGUCCAGACUCCUACGGGAGGCAGCAGUAGGGAAUCUUCCGCAAUGGGCGAAAGCCUGACGGAGCAACGCCGCGUGAGUGAUGAAGGUCUUCGGAUUGUAAAACUCUGUUAUUAGGGAAGAACAUAUGUGUAAGUAACUGUGCACAUCUUGACGGUACCUAAUCAGAAAGCCACGGCUAACUUCGGG